rnacentral:rRNA from 1 species
UGGGGAAUAUUGCACAAUGGGCGCAAGCCUGAUGCAGCCAUGCCGCGUGUAUGAAGAAGUCCUUCGGGUUGUAAAGUACUUUCAGUCGGGAGGAAGGUGGUAAGGUUAAUAACCUUGGCGAUUGACGUUACCGACAGAAGAAGCACCGGCUAACUCCGUGCCAGCAGCCGCGGUAAUACGGAGGGUGCAAGCGUUAAUCGGAAUUACUGGGCGUAAAGCGCACGCAGGCGGUUGAUUGAGUCAGAUGUGAAAUCCCCGGGCUUAACCCGGGAAUUGCAUCUGAUACUGGUCAGCUAGAGUCUUGUAGAGGGGGGUAGAAUUCCAUGUGUAGCGGUGAAAUGCGUAGAGAUGUGGAGGAAUACCGGUGGCGAAGGCGGCCCCCUGGACAAAGACUGACGCUCAGGUGCGAAAGCGUGGGGAGCAAACAGG